UCUCCAAGAUUCAUCCGUGUCCUAGCAGGUAUCAGAAUUUCAUUUCUCUUUAGGAUGGAAUGCUGUUCUGUGGUAUGGAGACAGCACGGGCUGUUUAUCCGUCCUUCCACCCAUGGACAUUCGGGCUCUGCUGGCUGCUGCUGUGCACGUUGACAUAAAGUAGCUGAGUUCCCGCCUUCAGUGCUGUUGAAUACGAAUCUGCAGGACUGAUUUUGAAGUAGAAUUGCCUUCCUGUCUGUCUCAAAGCCAUGAGAGCUCCAUUGCUGGUGGCAGUUCGGUUCCCUCCUACUUGGCGGCGAUGGCUUCUGGCAACCUGGUUCCCAUCAGCAAAAGCCCUUACCAUAAAAUAGGACAUAUCUCAGGUAAUAAUAGUUAGAAGUCAGCUAACAUUUAUCAAACACU
rnacentral:lncRNA from 1 species